AUUGAACGCUGGCGGAAUGCUUUACACAUGCAAGUCGAGCGGCAGCGCGGGGCAACCUGGCGGCGAGCGGCGAACGGGUGAGUAACACAUCGGAACGUGCCCAGACGUGGGGGAUAGCCCGGCGAAAGCCGGAUUAAUACCGCAUACGAUCUGAGGAUGAAAGCGGGGGAUCGCAAGACCUCGCGCGUUUGGAGCGGCCGAUGGCAGAUUAGGAGUUGGUGGGGUAAAGGCUUACCAAGCCUGCGAUCUGUAGCUGGUCUGAGAGGAUGAUCAGCCACACUGGGACUGAGACACGGCCCAGACUCCUACGGGAGGCAGCAGUGGGGAAUUUUGGACAAUGGGCGCAAGCCUGAUCCAGCCAUUCCGCGUGCAGGACGAAGGCCUUCGGGUUGUAAACUGCUUUUGUACGGACGAAAAGCCCUUCUCUAAUACAGAGGGGUCAUGACGGUACCGUAAGAAUAAGCACCGGCUAACUACGUGCCAGCAGCCAC
rnacentral:rRNA from 1 species